GAUCGUGGAAGACGACGACGUUUAUAGGCCGUGUGUGUAAGCUCAGCGAUUCUUUGAGCUAACCGGUACUAAUGAACCGUGAGGCUUAACCUUACAACGCCGAAG
rnacentral:rRNA from 1 species